AUCAGCAGCCAUACCAUCUGCAGUGCAGACUAGGUGAUCCAUCUGAAGCAGGUUUGGGCCUGGCCAGUACUUGGAUGGGAGACCAACUAGGAAAGCUGGGUUGCUGCUGGAA
rnacentral:rRNA from 1 species